rnacentral:rRNA from 1 species
CCCUUAGAUGUUCUGGGCCGCACGCGUGCUACACUGAGUGGAUCAGCGGGUCAGGUUGCGCGAAAGUGUUUCCUAAUCUUUAAAUCCACUCGUGAUGGGGAUUGACGGUUGCAAUUUUCCGUCAUGAACGAGGAAUACCUUGUAAGCGCGGGUCAUCAUCCCGCGCUGAAUACGUCCCUGCCCUUUGUACACACCGCCCGUCGCUCCUACCGAUUGAGUGGUCCGGUGAGGCUUUGGGAUCUGAGCGGAAAGAGCGUUUCGCUGUUUCUGCUCGGAAAACUCAGUCGAACCUUAUCAUUUAGAGGAAGGAGAAGUCGUAACA